rnacentral:rRNA from 1 species
AUGAUGUAUGGGUUUCCUCCACCCAUGACACCGCAAUUUGGCUUCCCAGGCGCCCCUCCUUGGGGUUUCCUAGGUGCUUACCCUCUGUAUCCACCUCCUCCAAAUUCCCCGUCAAGCAAUCAAUGGGUUGCCCCAGGACAAUCUCAUGUGCCCCCUGGGAGUGGCCACCAUGGUGGUGGGCGGCAACAAACAAGUGAAGGGGGUCUGAAAAACCAGGCUGGAAAAGAGAAGCAGAAGAAGAAUUUGAAUAUAUCUGGCUCUAUCAACAUUACAGGGGGCAAAGAGAAGAUGGUUGUGGAUUUCACUGAGUAUAGUCAGUCAAUGGAAAAGAGAAGCAGAAGAAGUUUGUUGGUAGUACUGUUGCAGGUUUGGGAUUCUAUCAUAUUAAAGUACCAGACAUGGGGCAGAAUGCAAUUGGAAGCUUUAAGAACUUUGGAGUAG